rnacentral:rRNA from 1 species
GAUGAACGCUGGCGGCGUGCUUAACACAUGCAAGUCGAACGGAAAGGCUCCUGCUUGCAGGGGUACUCGAGUGGCGAACGGGUGAGUAACACGUGGGUGAUCUGCCCUGCACUUCGGGAUAAGCCUGGGAAACUGGGUCUAAUACCGGAUAGGACGAUGGUUUGGAUGCCAUUGUGGAAAGUUUUUCGGUGUGGGAUGAGCUCGCGGCCUAUCAGCUUGUUGGUGGGGUAAUGGCCUACCAAGGCGUCGACGGGUAGCCGGCCUGAGAGGGUGUACGGCCACAUUGGGACUGAGAUACGGCCCAGACUCCUACGGGAGGCAGCAGUGGGGAAUAUUGCACAAUGGGCGCAAGCCUGAUGCAGCGACGCCGCGUGGGGGAUGACGGCCUUCGGGUUGUAAACUCCUUUCGCUAGGGACGAAGCGCGAGUGACGGUACCUGGAGAAGAAGCACCGGCUAACUACGUG